GGAAUCUUGGACAAUGGGGGCAACCCUGAUCCAGCCAUGCCGCGUGAGCGAUGAAGGCCCUAGGGUUGUAAAGCUCUUUCACCCGUGAAGAUAAUGACGGUAGCGGGAGAAUAAGCCCCGGCUAACUCCGUGCCAGCAGCCGCGGUAGUACGGAGGGGGCUAGCGUUGUUCGGAAUUACUGGGCGUAAAGCGCACGUAGGCGGCUUUGUAAGUUAGAGGUGAAAGCCCGGAGCUCAACUCCGGAAUUGCCUUUAAGACUGCAUCGCUAGAAUUGUGGAGAGGUGAGUGGAAUUCCGAGUGUAGAGGUGAAAUUCGUAGAUAUUCGGAAGAACACCAGUGGCGAAGGCGACUCACUGGACACAUAUUGACGCUGAGGUGCGAAAGCGUGGGGAGCAAA
rnacentral:rRNA from 1 species